CCUACGGGGGGCAGCAGUGAGGAAUAUUGGUCAAUGGGCGCGAGCCUGAACCAGCCAAGUCGCGUGAGGGAUGAAGGUUCUAUGGAUCGUAAACCUCUUUUAUAAGGGAAUAAAGUGCAGCAUGUAUACUGCUUUGCAUGUACCCUAUGAAUAAGGAUCGGCUAACUCCGUGCCAGCAGCCGCGGUAAUACGGAGGAUCCGAGCGUUAUCCGGAUUUAUUGGGUUGAAAGGGAGCGUAGGCGGGUUGUUAAGUCAGUUGAGAAAGUUUGCGGCUCAACCGUAGAAUUGCAGUUGAUACUGGCAGCCUUGAGUACAGUAGAGGUAGGCGGAAUUCGUGGUGUAGCGGUGAAAUGCUUAGAUAUCACGAAGAACUCCGAUUGCGAAGGCAGCCUACUGGACUGUAACUGACGCUGAUGCUCGAAAGUGUGGGUAUCAAACAGGAUUAGAUACCCUGGUAGUC
rnacentral:rRNA from 1 species